GGAUGAGCCCGCGGCCUAUCAGCUUGUUGGUGAGGUAAUGGCUCACCAAGGCGACGACGGGUAGCCGGCCUGAGAGGGCGACCGGCCACACUGGGACUGAGACACGGCCCAGACUCCUACGGGAGGCAGCAGUGGGGAAUAUUGCACAAUGGGCGUAAGCCUGAUGCAGCGACGCCGCGUGAGGGAUGACGGCCUUCGGGUUGUAAACCUCUUUCAGCAGGGAAGAAGCGAAAGUGACGGUACCUGCAGAAGAAGCGCCGGCUAACGACGUGCCAGCAGCCGCGGUAAUACGUAGGGCGCAAGCGUUGUCCGGAAUUAUUGGGCGUAAAGAGCUCGUAGGCGGCUUGUCACGUCGGGUGUGAAAGCCCGGGGCUUAACCCCGGGUCUGCAUUCGAUACGGGCUAGCUAGAGUGUGGUAGGGGAGAUCGGAAUUCCUGGUGUAGCGGUGAAAUGCGCAGAUAUCAGGAGGAACACCGGUGGCGAAGGCGGAUCUCUGGGCCAUUACUGACGCUGAGGAGCGAAAGCGUGGGGAGCGAACAGGAUUAGAUACCCUGGUAGUCCACGCCGUAAACGGUGGGAACUAGGUGUUGGCGACAUUCCACGUCGUCGGUGCCGCAGCUAACGCAUUAAGUUCCCCGC
rnacentral:rRNA from 1 species